CGGCGGUACGGCGGGACCGGCGAUCGGUGGUUCACUUGGCGGGUGAGCGACAGCGACGAUCUCAUCGACGACCUCCGGC
rnacentral:tRNA from 1 species